GAUGAACGCUGGCGGCGUGCCUAAUACAUGCAAGUCGAGCGAACAGACGAGGAGCUUGCUCCUCUGACGUUAGCGGCGGACGGGUGAGUAACACGUGGAUAACCUACCUAUAAGACUGGGAUAACUUCGGGAAACCGGAGCUAAUACCGGAUAAUAUAUUGAACCGCAUGGUUCAAUAGUGAAAGACGGUUUUGCUGUCACUUAUAGAUGGAUCCGCGCCGCAUUAGCUAGUUGGUAAGGUAACGGCUUACCAAGGCAACGAUGCGUAGCCGACCUGAGAGGGUGAUCGGCCACACUGGAACUGGGACACGGUCCAUACUCCUACGGGAGGCAGCAGUAGGGAAUCUUCCGCAAUGGGCGAAAGCCUGACGGAGCAACGCCGCGUGAGUUAUGAAGGUCUUCGGAUCGUAAAACUCUGUUAUUAGGGAAGAACAAAUGUGUAAGUAACUAUGCACGUCUUGACGGUACCUAAUCAGAAAGCCACGGCUAACUACGUG
rnacentral:rRNA from 1 species